CACUCAUCACCCUGUGACAUACCUAAAACGUUGCUUCGGCGGGAACAGACGGCCCUGUAACAACGGGCCGCCCCCGCCAGAGGACCCCUAACUCUGUUUUUAUAAUGUUUUUCUGAGUAAACAAGCAAAUAAAUUAAAACUUUCAACAACGGAUCUCUUGGCUCUGGCAUCGAUGAAGAACGCAGCGAAAUGCGAUAAGUAAUGUGAAUUGCAGAAUUCAGUGAAUCAUCGAAUCUUUGAACGCACAUUGCGCCCGCCAGUAUUCUGGCGGGCAUGCCUGUUCGAGCGUCAUUACAACCCUCAGGCCCCCGGGCCUGGCGUUGGGGAUCGGCAGAAGCCCCCUGUGGGCACACGCCGUCCCUCAAAUACAGUGGCGGUCCCGCCGCAGCUUCCAUUGCGUAGUAGCUAACACCUCGCAACUGGAGAGCGGCGCGGCCAUGCCGUAAAACACCCAACUUCUGAAUGUUGACCUCGAAUCAGGUAGGAAUACCCGCUGAACUUAAGCAUAUCAAUAAGCGGAGGAA
rnacentral:rRNA from 1 species